rnacentral:rRNA from 1 species
UGGGGAAUAUUGCACAAUGGGCGCAAGCCUGAUGCAGCAACGCCGCGUGAGGGACGACGGCCUUCGGGUUGUAAACCUCUUUUAGUAGGGAAGAAGCGAAAGUGACGGUACCUGCAGAAAAAGCACCGGCUAACUACGUGCCAGCAGCCGCGGUAAUACGUAGGGUGCGAGCGUUGUCCGGAAUUAUUGGGCGUAAAGAGCUCGUAGGCGGUCUGUCGCGUCUGCUGUGAAAACCCGAGGCUCAACCUCGGGCCUGCAGUGGGUACGGGCAGACUAGAGUGCGGUAGGGGAGAAUGGAAUUCCUGGUGUAGCGGUGGAAUGCGCAGAUAUCAGGAGGAACACCGAUGGCGAAGGCAGUUCUCUGGGCCGUAACUGACGCUGAGGAGCGAAAAGCGUGGGGAGCGAACAGGAUUAGAUACCCUGGUAGUCCACGCCGUAAACGUUGGGCGCUAGAUGUGGGGACCAUUCCACGGUUUCCGUGUCGCAGCUAACGCAUUAAGCGCCCGCCUGGGGAGUACGGCCGCAAGGCUAAAACU